AGAGUUUGAUCCUGGCUCAGGAUGAACGCUGGCGGCGUGCUUAACACAUGCAAGUCGAACGAAGCACUUUAUUUGAUUUCCUUCGGGACUGAUUAUUUUGUGACUGGGUGGAGGACGGGUGAGUAACGCGUGGGUAACCUGCCUUGUACAGGGGGAUAACAGUUGGAAACGGCUGCUAAUACCGCAUAAGCGCACGGCAUCGCAUGAUGCAGUGUGAAAAACUCCGGUGGUAUAAGAUGGACCCGCGUUGGAUUAGCUAGUUGGUGAGGUAACGGCCCACCAAGGCGACGAUCCAUAGCCGACCUGAGAGGGUGACCGGCCACAUUGGGACUGAGACACGGCCCAAACUCCUACGGGAGGCAGCAGUGGGGAAUAUUGCACAAUGGGCGAAAGCCUGAUGCAGCGACGCCGCGUGAGCGAAGAAGUAUUUCGGUAUGUAAAGCUCUAUCAGCAGGGAAGAUAAUGACGGUACCUGACUAAGAAGCACCGGCUAAAUACGUGCCAGCAGCCGCGGUAAUACGUAUGGUGCAAGCGUUAUCCGGAUUUACUGGGUGUAAAGGGAGCGCAGGCGGUGCGGCAAGUCUGAUGUGAAAGCCCGGGGCUCAACCCCGGUACUGCAUUGGAAACUGUCGUACUAGAGUGUCGGAGGGGUAAGCGGAAUUCCUAGUGUAGCGGUGAAAUGCGUAGAUAUUAGGAGGAACACCAGUGGCGAAGGCGGCUUACUGGACGAUAACUGACGCUGAGGCUCGAAAGCGUGGGGAGCAAACAGGAUUAGAUACCCUGGUAGUCCACGCCGUAAA
rnacentral:rRNA from 1 species